GGAUUGGUGGACAAGGACUGGCAGGAAAGGGCUGGUCAACCUGACUCCCAGGGUAAGCCCUCUGACCUUCUGGUAGCCACAAUGGAGGUGUUCAGGCCAAAGGGCUACGGCCUAAUUGGAGGAGAUUCUGCAUCUGGAGUUGUUCCAAGCUCAUGCCAAAGCUAACCCUGGCAAACAUCUGCCCGCGGACUGUGAACUUGAAGCAAGCAUUGCUAUGGCCUCCAGAUCCUGGAUUCUUCAGAUCUAUACUUGGUACUGUUGAACAUAUGAGGCCCCUUGGUGCAUGCUUCGAAUCUCAGCAUUCAGGAGGCUGAGGCAGGAGGAUGGCAAGUUCCAGGAGCUCUGCCAGGACACGCGAGUGACUCGGGACUCCAUCAGAAGCCCAGUGGUCUUAUUUCGAACCCUUGAGAUGACAGCCCUAUUAACUCCAGCGGCUCCAGAGAAAGUUGAAGACCAAGGCACAGAUCUGUCCCAAACCCUGACCUCCGAGGGAGGGUUACAGCCAAGUUCCUUCUCUGAACUCAGUGGAGUGGCAGGGGUGCCUUCCACCUAGAUCCCAGCUUCCUCCGCUGCCCGCCCCCUGCUGGCCCGCCUGCCUGUCCCUCCACCAUCUGCAUGGAUUUAUUUCACGAUAAUUUCAUUUUAUCCCUGGCUCCAGAAAGAUGGAUUGGCCAGCAAGGUGACAGAAUCAACAUCAGGCUC